GGGGGGUUGGGAUGGCCCUUGAGGGCUGCUUCUGCCUCAUUUUGCUGUCAUUUGCUGUGGUGUUCGGCCACAGACCUCUCCUGGAGCAUGGAUUAUGGCAGCUCCUGAAGGUUUAAACAGCUCUUUCAGAUACCCGUCUGUCUUUUGGAUUGGAAGAGUGAGCCGAAAUGAAGAGGAGAUGCUGUUGUACAGGGGAAGCGUGUCACCUACAGCCACCUAUUUACAGGUGGUGACCUCAAUGUCCGACUCCAUCUGUGUGGCAGUAAAAGUGGCCCUUGGAAGGAAAGGAAACUUGUUUCCUACAGCUGUGGCACAAGGCUGUGUCAGCGCAGCCACCACUGCAGAUGUCCAUCAUUUUAGAGAGUCACAAACCUUUGGUACUCAUUUCUGAGCAACCCUGAGCCCUGAAACACUGCAACAGCGGCACCAAGAGGUCUCUCAACAGCGCAAUUCCGUUGCACCAGCACCUAAUCGGCCACACUGCUAUAUUUCUCUACCCACUUGUCUCUCAUGAGAUGCUACCUGAGCUCUGUCAUGUCACUAGAGACGCUCUUCACAGCACCUACUGAUGAUGGAAACUUAAAGGACACCGAGUUGCUUCCUCAAAGCUAUGAUGAAGCCAGAAAACCAGGCACCGAGAACAACCACAAAUCCCCCGAACCCUGUGCUCCCUGAAGAGCAGCGACAGUUCCUCAUUUUGCAGAAGUGAGCCCCUCUAGCUUCUUACGUGUUUCAUCGUGAACAGGAACUUGCAAGAGACCCACACAAUGGA